UACACAAAAAAUUUCUCAGAAUUUGAAUUCCGCAGCCAAAUUUUUUCACAAUGAUCAGCGUUCUCGCUCAGGAGCGUUUGCUUGGUGCCGCGCUCGGAACCGCGUUGACAGGGAUCGUGGUAUUUGAGCAACGGAAAUGCAUCUACGAAUCGAUUCCAGAUCAUCAAUCUCAACUGGCUGCUCAAUCGCAGGUCCUAUUUUAUUUUAUUUCUAGCGUUGAAUUUUCUGU